rnacentral:misc_RNA from 1 species
AAAGAGAUGGUGGGCCCCCGCGCCCCCGUCCCCAACCCUUUGUUGACCAAAACAUUUUUGCCUCGGGGGCAGAGUGGCCUUCGCGCCGCCGCCCCCAGAGGACCACUUAACCCUGUCUCUGUACGUCGGAGUCUUUGAUAAAUCAAUCA